rnacentral:rRNA from 1 species
UACGUAGGGGGCGAGCGUUGUCCGGAAUUAUUGGGCGUAAAGAGCUCGUAGGCGGUUCGGCAAGUCACGUGUGAAAUCUCCACGCUCACGUGGAGGCGCCACGUGAGACUGCUGUGACUCGAGUCCGGUAGGGGAGCGUGGAAUUCCCGGUGUAGCGGUGAAAUGCGCAGAGAUCGGGAGGAACACCCGUAGCGAAGGCGGCGCUCUGGGCCGGUACUGACGCUGAGGAGCGAAAGCGUGGGGAGCAAACAGG